rnacentral:rRNA from 1 species
GACGAACGCUGGCGGCGUGCCUAAUACAUGCAAGUAGGACGCAGUUGCGAACGGGUGAGUAACGCGUAGGUAACUACCUACUAGAGGGGGAUAACUAUUGGAAACGAUAGCUAAUACCGCAUACUAGUUGAUGGACCUGCGUGGUAUUAGUUAGUAGGUAGGGUAAUGGCCUACCUAGGCAACGAUACAUAGCCGACCUGAGAGGGUGGUCGGCCACACUGGGACUGGGACACGGCCCAGGCUCCUACGGGAGGCAGGCGUAGGGGAACUUCGGGAAUUGGGGGAAACCUGACCGGGCCACGGCGCGUGAGUGAAGAAGGUUUUCGGAUCGUAAAGCUCUGUUGUUAAGGAAGCGGUACUUAACCAGAAAGGGACGGCUAACUACGUGCCAGCAGCCGCGGUAAUUC